GAUGAACGCUGGCGGCGUGCCUAAUACAUGCAAGUCGAGCGAACAGACGAGGAGCUUGCUCCUCUGACGUUAGCGGCGGACGGGUGAUUAACACGUGGAUAACCUACCUAUAAGACUGGGAUACCUUCGCGAAACCGGAGCUAAUACCGGAUAAUAUAUUGAACCGCAUGGUUCAAUAGUGAAAGACGGUUUUGCUGUCACUUAUAGAUGGAUCCGCGCCGCAUUAGCUAGUUGGUAAGGUAACGGCUUACCAAGGCAACGAUGCGUAGCCGACCUGAGAGGGUGAUCGGCCACACUGGAACUGAGACACGGUCCAGACUCCUACGGGAGGCAGCAGUAGGGAAUCUUCCGCAAUGGGCGAAAGCCUGACGGAGCAACGCCGCGUGAGUGAUGAAGGUCUUCGGAUCGUAAAACUCUGUUAUUAGGGAAGAACAAAUGUGUAAGUAACUAUGCACGUCUUGACGGUACCUAAACAGAAAGCCACGGCUAACUACGUG
rnacentral:rRNA from 1 species